rnacentral:rRNA from 1 species
UGUGCCAGCCGCCGCGGUAAUACGUAGGGCGCAAGCGUUGUCCGGAAUUAUUGGGCGUAAAGAGCUCGUAGGCGGUUUGUCGCGUCUGCUGUGAAAACGCAAGGCUUAACCUUGCGCCUGCAGUGGGUACGGGCAGACUAGAGUGCGGUAGGGGAGACUGGAAUUCCUGGUGUAGCGGUGGAAUGCGCAGAUAUCAGGAGGAACACCGAUGGCGAAGGCAGGUCUCUGGGCCGUUACUGACGCUGAGGAGCGAA